CAUGAAUCAGCCCUGUCUGUUUUAUGCUGAAGCAUCUAAAAUCUUCAGUUCCUCCAUAAUGACCAGAGAGUCAGCCUGAAGCUCUCCCAAUGCCUCCUCCAGGGAACAGCUCUCCUGGGCCCAUCUACGCCAGGCUGUGGUGCAUGAUUCCUCAUUAACAGAUGUGAAGAGCUCAGAGAAGAAAAAGGCUGGAAUAAAGAUGGUUGGAUCCAAGCGCUUUGUGUGCAGCCAACACAGAGAAAGCUAUGUGCUGAGACACAGCUACCCAGAAAGGAGCCCCAAUCCCAUAAAGAGCCAAAAAUAACAACAAAACAAUAGCAAGAAUCUUGGCUUUCAACACAGGACACACUUCCUGCUCAGAACACUUGAAAAAUCCAUCUAGAAACAGCAUUUGGCAUUCGUGGGGGUCAGCUGAAGCCACGUUCAAUGCUGCAGGCCUGAGGUGGAAAGGCUGAGGCCCAGAUUCCCGCCGCUGCCCAGGCUCGGCUCCUGCAGGAGUCCUUCCAUGCGCUGAUGCACAGAAGGAAUGACCUUUGCAGGACUGUGAGGGCUCAUGGGCCUAACUUAAGAGACACACCUCUGGGCAGACCUCUGAAAAUACUUCCAGAAAGUGCCAAGAGAGAAGACCUUCUUUGUUAAGGAUGAAGGACUCUUCAGUAGGUGGCUCCCAUAUACAGAGCUCUGAGGACAAGGCAUUGAGGCUGUCUGCCUGUCUUUGCUUUUUCCUGGGAAUGCCUUGAUUGCCACUGCUGCUGGG
rnacentral:lncRNA from 1 species